UGUGCCUCAAGCUCGGCGAUAUGUGCAGCUGCAUCUCCAAAGACGAAGAAGAAUCGAAACACAGAUUAGGACUAGAGAGGAAGAAGCCACAAGCAAGAAACCUUGUGUGAAAUGUGAGGUGAAAAAAGGAAAGAAAAUGCAGGCUUGAGAGAGAAGAUGAAGAGAGGUUGUUUGGAGGAAAAUGACUGCAGACUGAGAAUUUCUCAUGUGUUAAUGGCUUAGUAUUCAAGAAGGGAGGUUGGAUUGGAAAAGAAUGUGCCUUUUUCAAAAUAAAAUAUUAAUGAUUGAUCAAAAAGUAUUUAAGGAAGAUGGAGUUAUAUAGUUUGGUGCAGCUUCACUUUGCCUCCACAUCAAGUAUAUUGGAGAAAUUACUACUGUUUGUGGGCUGUGAUAUAACAUAGUUUCUAAAAUGGAAAACGACGUCUUCAUAGAUUGAUUUAUUUUAUUUGUA